UGAUUACAAAUAUCUCACAAAUUAAGUUGUGUGAGACUAUUUCACCCAAGAUAUCUUAGUUCUUAUUAAUCACAUAAAACAAUAAAAAAUGAAUGAGACUAAAUUCUGUAACUUAUUAAAUUUUACUGUUAACUAUACUCAUCUCUUUACAAAUUAAUUUUCCAGUUAGCAUUCUACUUCCUCUGUUUAUUUUAAUUGACAUCUUUCUAUUAUCACACGCUUGCCAACACAUGUUUUUAACGCUUAAUAAUUUCAAUUAUCAACAUUGUAAAAUUAUAAAAAGUGGAUAUUAAUAAAAUAUACGUAUAAACAAUUCAAAUAAGAUUCCACGUGAUUCCCUUCAAAAAAAAAAAAAAAAAGAUUUCACGUGAUUACAUUUUAUCGUAUCCAUAAAUUAUAAAAGCGAGUCAAAAUAAAGUAUAUAAAUAGUGUAAAAGUCAAACGUUGUCAACUAGAAAAACAGAGGAAUUACAUUAUUAGCGAUACAAAUAAAUUUGAGUGAAUUACCUGUUGAAGGAAUUUGAACAUUUAUAAAGACGGACCGAGGGGCACGCCUCUUUCCCUCUUUAGUCUCAACUUUAGCAUUAGUACCUUUCACCGUACAUUAUCCUCUCCACAUCAUGGAUAAAUGGCCGGGGUUUAGAGUUUCUUCAAAGAAGAAAAGGAAAAGGAGUGGAAAAAAUCGAGAAUCAGGGUUUGAGAAACGCAAAAAAAAAGUCGAUUACGUUGUAUUUACUAUCGAAAUGGACAUCAGCCGUGGGCAUGUUCGUGUCCUCCAUGCCCCCUCUCGCUACCAGAUAGCUGACAUUUUUACAAAAGGGCUGCCGCAACUCCUAUUCGAAGACUUUCGUGCCAGCCUUACGAUUGCGGGGGUGUAUUAGCAUAUGUGAAUGUGUAGUCGUAUUAAAAUUUAUGACUUUCGAAUGUUAUAUUCAAUCUAUGUGAAUGUGUAGUUGUAUUUACUAUCAUUGUGUAAUCAUUCCCUAGGUACUUUGUUUAUAUACUCCUAUGCUAAGCAAUGAGAAGUCACGGAACAUAUUCCUACACUUCUCUUGUCAUUGUUUGCUUCUUUUUUGUUGAUAAUAAUACAAUAAUACUUGAAACAA